rnacentral:tRNA from 2 species
GCGCCCGUAGCUCAGGGGACAGAGCAGCGGACUUCUAAUCCGCUGGACGCAGGUUCGAAUCCUGCCGGGCGCG